CUGGAAGGAUGUGGCUUGCUUGAAAUGCCUUUCACACUCUUGGUGUCUCUGCAGGUUCCUGAUAUCCCUCUGCUGUGAGAGAGGUGAUAAUGUACCAGACCUUUGUAAUCAUUCGAGAAGUGUUCCAGGACUUUGAGACCGUUGACUGGGUCAGGUGGCUCACCAUGAUGUUCACCCUAUUCCUCUCCAGUUUUACCACCGAAAUGCAAGCUGUGGUUAUGGUUCACACAAACUGCACCAACUACCACGUGAUUGUCGAAGGACUGGGCAAGGUGUUCCCUGAGAUUUCUAUUAAAAAUCGAUUUUGUAUCGAAUCAUAAUGAACUGUACAAUUUACACCCCUACUCUACAGUGGCCAGUUACUUUGAACUUUUUAUGACUUGAACAACACUUUGUUAAAAUGCGCACCUCCCUUUUGCUAAUGUCACGUGGAUUCAGUUUCCAGCCUUUAGGCUGAACUACUGCUUGAGCUUAGUGUGAGGGGCAGAGAGAUGCAGCGAGAUUCAUGUACUGUGUCCCUGGUGAUGGCGUUUUGUGUUUCCCUUUACCUGGCAGCUUUGGAAUCCCUCUCACCUGAACAGAAAGCAGAGCUGCUGUUGGACCCAUCCACCAGCGCUCUUGAAAAUGAGACCAUGGUGAAGUAGGUGUUGCUACGUAACAUUCAUGUUGCACACCUCCUCAUCCCGUCGGAGUCUGCAAGGAAACACCAAAUGACGUGUUCCGCUUGAGAUUGGAAGUGUUUCGGGAGGGCCUUGCGACUUCAGCAUCCCUUGGUAUGUCUGUUCUUCGGACUUCUUGACAGGCUCCUGUCUUAGGGGAGAGGUCCACUGGCUAAUGUGACAGCCUUCUAGGACUAACAGCUAUAUGCGCAUGACACCGAUGGGGAUUUCCUUUUCAGAAAUAAAGUUCAUAUUCAGCCUGUCUUCUUUAACCCACGUGUAUAAAUAAAACAGCUUGCUUAUGGUCACUGAUAUUACAGAAAUCUCCAUCUAAUGUGAGUGGACCUCCAUGUUAUUCAUUUUAUUAAAGUGCUUUUCAUUUCUUGUGUAUAAAAUCUUGUAUGUUUAAGACGUUCAGUUAAGAAACCUUUUUGUGUAAUUAGGGGUAAGCAAUGUUUUUAUAAUUACGGUGGGGGAAAUUAAGGUUUGAACGCAUCAACAUUCUUUUCAGUACAUAUAUUUCCAAUGAGGUUAUUCACCUGAAAUUUUCACCAGACAUCAGUAUUAACUCAUGAAAUCAGCAUAUAUAAAGAAACAACAUUUAAAGUCUAUAAAUUAAAUUAUGUUCAAUAAAGCUGAAUGACACAGAAAAGUCUUGAACACAUUAAGAAACAGCUAGUCACCAAGGAACCAGCUGCAAUCCAUAAGUAUUUAGAAAGUAAAAUUUCCUAUCGGUGGCAAUUAUUUUAUUAUCUGCUGGGUUAGUAAAUUGAUGAGCUAUAAAAAGGCUUUUCAUUACCAAAAUGUCACACAUACUUGUUGCCAAACAUAUUGAUGGAAUCGGAUGCAGAUGUAUUUCAAAACUUCUGAAUCUUCCUUUAACCCUGGAGAACCCAGGGGUCAAAUUUGGCCAAUGUUAAUUAAUGCUAAGAGUAGGGUUAUUGGGUUCUCCAGGGUUAAGCACCAUUGGAGCCAUUAUCCACUGUGGAUCUUAAAUUAAUACUGAUGUCUGGUGGAACUUUCAUGUGAAUAACAUCAUUGGAAAUAUAUGUAUUGCAUAAAAUGUUGAUGCGUUCAAUACUUAUUUCCCCCACUGUAAGAUCAUUAUGGUAUGUGUUCAUAUUGGAACAUAUUAUUCUGUUUACAUGGGUCAAUAGGCUGUUUCAUGUGAGACCCACACAAGUUGCCACAGUUAUGUGCCUGGCCCAAAGUUAACUUCCAGUCUGUGUUUGUUUACCAUAUGGCUAGUGGCUAAACUGACAUCUGGAACAAUACCUUGUCAAAAGUAUAAUUGUUUCCAUUUCCCAAAAAUGAGGGGAGAGGACAAGCAUUGAUUAAUGCUGUGCGUUAAGAGAUUUGGCAGCCAGUCAAGAAUUCAAGGUAGUUGUAUACAUUCAUUUUACACUGUAACGUUAGCUCAGUAUAAUAGUUAAUACCCUAGCUAUGACCUAAAGUAAUCUACUUGUUAUUUAUUUAGCAUGUCUUCAGAAAUUAUCUACUCUAAACCGACUCUGUUGUUACUGAUUCUUUGCAGAACUGGAACUUAAGUUUGGGCCACAACAUUUUAGGGGAUGGGGAUGUGAUGUUAUGUAUUUUAAAGGUGAUGUACAAAGUCAUGUUCCUAAAUUUCAUUUCAUAGUACAGUUAGUUUCUUUACAGUAAUGUACAUUUUACAAUGAAAAACAUUUGUGUUCUUCACAUAUAUAAGCAAUUAAAAUUGUACAGUAUUAAUACUAAGCUACUGGCUGAAUCCUUUUAUGUUAUGUGAUUUUGUUUUUGUUGUGGUUUCUCUUUUAAAUUGUUAUUGUAAUAAAGUCCUGUGUCAUAUAUUAGAUAGUUGUUAUGUGGUGGUACUUUAGUAAAACCAUGGUUAAACUAUAGUUCAAUUGUAGUUCAACCAUGGUUUCAAAACUAUAGUUACUACAGUUUUACU